UCUAAAAUGGCAGAUAGAUGUAUAGGAUUUAAGCUCCUAUUAGGAAAAUAUAAAUUUUCUUUUAAAA
rnacentral:tRNA from 1 species